rnacentral:lncRNA from 15 species
ACAGUAAUAAACAGUUUGUGUACUGUACGACCCUAUGGGCUCUCAGGGACCUGCCAGGAGAAAGUCCAGGGUUUUAUCGGAGACGCCGUCCUGCUGCCCUGCGUCUACACCGAGGACGACCGUCUACUCUCCGUCUUCUGGAGAGACAAAAACGACAACAACAUACUGGACAUCAUCAAUAACGUACCGAACAACUCAACACAGCACAAGAGAUUCAGAGGUCGAGUGCUCAGUGACCCAUCGCUGUACCAGAAGGGAAACUUCUCUGUCACCUUGAAGAACGUUCAGCAGGACGACGCCGGUCCCUACGAGUGCGUCAUCCCGUUGGAGAACUUCCAGCUGAGAGUCACUCUCUCUGUUUCAGGUAAACGUGUUGAAGCAACUCCUCCAGGACCAGCAGGCGGCGCUGCAGUAACACCGACCUCCCUCCAUCUGGUUCUGCUUUCUGUCCCUCUGUCUGUGUUCUUCAGCUCGAGAACGUGUUAGAACUUCAACUUCAUCUAGAAAACACUGUAGAAAAGUUUCAUUUCGUGUAGGAAACAACCUCAGAGUAUUAUUUUAUUGGUAUUGUUAUUAUUAUUGUUAUUAUGAGUAUACAGUCAGGAUAGUGAAGUUUUAUUUAUUUCAUUUCAUUUAAAUUCAUUUUGAAACGAGUUAAAUAACUAUUCCCACCAAUAAUCAACCUCACAGUGUCCACACUCAUUAAAGAUCACUGCAGCCCAAAAUAAUCCAAACUGAUUUACUGUCAAUAAACGGAUGGAAGUGAUGCUGAAAUAACGACACCAUGAUGGCGGGUGUUAACCGACUGAAUUCAGACUCAUAUUUUACAACUUCCUCUCUUCCUUUACUUCAAGUUCAAGUAGUCUUACAAGACCGUACGGGCUGGAGCUAGCAGUUACUAGCUGGUUAGCAUGCUAACCUCAGUAACACAACACACAGAUGUCUUCGACAUACAGUCGUAGCUGUUAGGGUGAGUUUCCACCAUAAUGCAAAUGAAUGAAGUCUGAGGUAAAGAGGACGACAUACGGAGAGACAGAGCUGAAAUUCAGAAAAUCAUCAUGAUGUCGUUAUUUCUGCAUCAUUUUGAUCCGUUUAUGGACAUUAAAUCACAGAAAGUAUAAUUGAGGCCAUUUCUUUUAUUUAUUUUUAUUUCUAUUACACAUUACCCCUUUUAUAACAGAGCGAUCAGUAACAGCGUGUCUGUAAAACUCUAAAGCUCCAGACAGUAACAAUGUCAUAUUGAACACCAAAGAUUAGUUUUGAUCAUUAUAAUAAUCAAUUAAUUGUCUUAAAGACAAACACUGCACCUUAAUUCUGGUUUUUGCUUUGACGUAUCUAUUAUUAUAAUGAAACAGUUCCUCUGAAGAAUAUUGAAGCAUAUUGAAGCUUUCUGCUCAAGUAAUCAUAUCACUAAUAAUCAGUUCCUUCUCUACUUUCUGGAUAAAAAACAAAACAAAAUACAGAACUAUUUAAAAUGUGCCUUAAAAAACAUCAGAAUUUAAAUAAAGUGUCUCUAAUGGUCUUCUGUAGAAACAGCAGCUGCAGCAGUUACAUGUUAUCUCUUUAUAUUUAUCCAUUAUUGUUGUGAAAGUUAAAUCUUGGGAAAUUAAGGAUCUGCUGAGUGGAUAUUAAACUGUGUACUUUAUAUUUAUUUAAUAUUUUUGUCAGUGGGAACUAUUUGAAGUCAAAUAGUGAUUGUGAUUAUAUUUAGUGACUGAUCCUUUCAUCCUUCUCAGGACCAGCUCUUGAUAAUUUCCUCAGUUAUAACAGCGUCUCUGCUGUAAAUGAUCAGACUGAAUUUUGUCUUAUUGUGAAAUAAACAGUACCACCUUUCUACCACAAGAUGGAGCCACUCAAUCACCUCAUACAACACAGCACUGUUAGUACUAAUACUGAUACUAAUAUUGAUACUGAUAUUGAUACUGAUACUACUGAUGUAAUAUUGAUACCACUGUUUAUUCUGUUAGUACUAGUUCUAAUAGUGUAGCGAUAUAAUGUUGUUAUCACUCCUUAUUGUUGCUGUUCCUACUGGAACCUGGACUGCUGUUAGUGCUCGUACUUCUAACUUACUAUAACUUCUUCUGUUUCUAUUAUAAUGUAAAUAUUAUUUCCUCUACAGUUACAUACUGUAACUAUAGUACUGAUGCUGCUGAACCUGUAGUUUCACUGCUACUACUAUUAAAGGUUCUCCUGCUGUUAGUAUCGUUGUUAUUACUGCUGUAACUGUCCUCCUAUAGUUACUACUACUUCACCUGAAACUAUUACUGUAAUAGUUUUAUUGGUACUAAUACAACUACUGAUAAUAACUCGACUACUGCUGUUACUACCCUGACUACUACAGUACUCCACUGCUAUUAACACUUACUACUUCCAUCAGUCUAUCAGUUACUGCUGCUGCUACAAAUACUACUAAUGCUGCUAAUAAUAGGACUAUUACCAAUCUGUUUUCCUGAAGCAGUUUCAGUUCCGGGU